UAGCUCAGUUGGUAGAGCAUGGUGUUUGCAACAAAUGGUGUUUGCAACGCCAGGGUUGUGGGUUCGAUUCCCAC
rnacentral:tRNA from 1 species